GGCAGACGGGUGAGUAAUGCAUAGGAAUCUGCCUAGUAGUAUGGGAUAGCCACUAGAAAUGGUGGGUAAUACUGUAUAAUCCCUGCGGGGGAAAGAUUUAUCGCUACUGGAUGAGCCUAUGUUAGAUUAGCUAGUUGGUGGGGUAAUGGCCUACCAAGGCUGUGAUCUAUAGCUGGUCUGAGAGGAUGAUCAGCCACACUGGAACUGAGACACGGUCCAGACUCCUACGGGAGGCAGCAGUGGGGAAUAUUGGACAAUGGGCGCAAGCCUGAUCCAGCUAUGCCGCGUGAGUGAGGAAGGCCUUAGGGUUGUAAAACUCUUUCAGCAGGGAAGAUAAUGACGGUACCUGCAGAAGAAGUCCCGGCAAACUCCGUGCCAGCAGCCGCGGUAAUACGGAGGGGGCAAGCGUUGUUCGGAAUUAUUGGGCGUAAAGGGCAUGUAGGCGGUUUGGUAAGUUAAAG
rnacentral:rRNA from 1 species